UACGGGGGGGGGUAAGCGUUGUUCGGAAUUACUGGGCGUAAAGGGCUCGUAGGCGGCCAACUAAGUCAUACGUGAAAUCCCUCAGCUUAACUGGGGAACUGCGUGUGAUACUGGAUGGCUUGGAUUUGGGAGAGGGAUGCGGAAUUCCAGGUGUAGCGGUGAAAUGCGCAGAUAUCAGGAGGAACACCAAUUGCGAAGGCAGCUCGCUGGGACGUGACUGACGCUGAGACGCGAAAGCGUGGGGAGCAAACAGG
rnacentral:rRNA from 1 species